AACGAGAGAUUAUUAUUGUUGAACACACUUUGAAUUUUUAUAAUUAGGUUGUUUAGAAUUUCAAACGAGAUGUUUUAAGUGAAUGAAGACAACAUGGUUGAAUGAAGCAAUGAGGGUAAGAGAGAUAAUUAAACCUAUUACCAUUCUAAAGGUUAGGUUGUGCUGUUAUGAUAACUGAAUGAACAUGGCAGCAAUGGUGAUAAAACUUUAAUAAUAGAAUAUCUUAAAACUAGCACAAUCACAUGAUGGCUUAAUUAGAAUGUGCCAAUAUAUAUGUUUAAGGUUUAGAGCUAAGGUUUAGGAUUUCAGGUUAUUGUUUAGGGUUUAAGAGUGUAUAGGGUUAGAGUUUAAGAGUGUAUAGGUUUAAGAGUGUAUAGGGUUAGAGUUUAAGAGUGUAUAGGUUAGAGUUUAGUGUCUAGGAGGGUUUAGUAUUUGGUUUUAGGUACGUUUAAGGUUUAGAUGUUAGGGUUUGUGUUUGGGUUUUGGUUUACAGAUUGGUUUUGG
rnacentral:lncRNA from 1 species